rnacentral:rRNA from 1 species
UAAUCAUUUGUCUAUUAAUUGUAGACCUGUAUGAAAGGCGCAAUGAGGGCCUAACUGUCUCUUAUAAUCAAUCAAUUAAACUGAUCUUUUAGUACAAAAGCUAAAAUACCGACAUAAGACCAGAAGACCCUGUGAAGCUUUAACAAACCCAUUAAACCCUUUAAUGACUACUUUCGGUUGGGGCGACCUUGGAAAAAAAAGAAACUUCCAAACAUGACUAAAACUCAAACAGGCCUACAAGCCAUCAACGACCCAGCACAGCUGAUCAACGAACCAAGUUACUCCAGGGAUAACAGCGCUAUCUUCUUCAAGAGCCCAUAUCAAAAAGAAGGUUUACGACCUCGAUGUUGGAUCAGGACAUCCUAGUGGUGUAGCAGCUACUAAGGGUU